rnacentral:rRNA from 1 species
CCCUUAGAGUUUGAUCCUGGCUCAGGAUGAACGCUAGCGGCAGGCUUAAUACAUGCAAGUCGAGGGGCAGCAGGGUGUAGCAAUACAUCGCUGGCGACCGGCAAACGGGUGCGGAACACGUACGCAACCUUCCUUUAAGUGGAGAAUAGCCCAGGGAAACUUGGAUUAAUACUUCGUAACAUUAUGAAAUGGCAUCAUUUUAUAAUUAUAGUUCCGACGCUUAAAGAUGGGCGUGCGCCUGAUUAGGUAGUUGGUGGGGUAAUGGCCUACCAAGGCGACGAUCCAUAGCUGGUCUGAGAGGAUGAUCAGCCACAUUGGGACUGAGACACGGCCCAAACUCCUACGGGAGGCAGCAGUGGGGAAUAUUGGACAAUGGGCGAAAGCCUGAUCCAGCCAUGCCGCGUGAGUGAUGAAGGCCCUAGGGUUGUAAAGCUCUUUCAACGGUGAAGAUAAUGACGGUAACCGUAGAAGAAGCCCCGGCUAACUUCGUGCCAGCAGCCGCGGUAAUACGAAGGGGGCUAGCGUUGUUCGGAAUUACUGGGCGUAAAGCGCACGUAGGCGGAUAUUUAAGUCAGGGGUGAAAUCCCGGGGCUCAACUCCAGAACUGCCUUCGAUACUGAAGAGCUCGAGUCCGGGAGAGGUGAGUGGAACUGCGAGUGUAGAGGUGAAAUUCGUAGAUAUUCGCAAGAACACCAGUGGC